rnacentral:rRNA from 1 species
UGGUGGAGUGAUUUGUCUGGUUAAUUCCGUUAACGAACGAGACCUUAACCUGCUAAAUAGUUACGUGUAACCCCGGUUAUGCGGGCAGCUUCUUAGAGGGACUUUGUGAAUCUAUUGCAAGGAAGUUUGAGGCAAUAACA